rnacentral:rRNA from 1 species
GACGAACGCUGGCGGCGUGCUUAACACAUGCAAGUCGAACGAAGUGGCGAACGGGUGAGUAAUACGUGAGUAACCUGCCCUCCUUUUUGGGAUAAGCCUUGGAAACGGGGUCUAAUACCGAAUAAAGGGGGAUGGGCUCGCGGCCUAUCAGCUUGUUGGUGGGGUGAUGGCCUACCAAGGCGGUGACGGGUAGCCGGCCUGAGAGGGUGACCGGCGACAGUGGGACUGGGCUACGGCCCAGACGCCUACGGGAGGCGGCGGUGGGGGAUAAUGCACAGUGGGCGAAAGCCUGAUGCGGCGACGCUGCGUGGGGGGUGAAGGCUUUCGGGUUGUAAACCUCUUGCGCGAUCGGACGGGUAGGUGGAGGAGAAGCGCCGGCUAACUACGUGCCAGCAGCCGCGGUAAUUC